GACGAACGCUGGCGGCGUGCUUAACACAUGCAAGUCGAACGGAAAGGCCCCUUCGGGGGUCCUCGAGUGGCGCACAGGUGAGUAACACGUGAGUAACCUGCCCUUGACUUCGGGAUAACUUCAGGAAACUGGGGCUAAUACCGGAUAGGAAUCCUUGCUGCAUGGUGGGGGUUGGAAAGCUUCGGCGGUUUUGGAUGGACUCGCGGCUUAUCAGCUUGUUGGUGGGGUAGUGGCUUACCAAGGCUUUGACGGGUAGCCGGCCUGAGAGGGCGACCGGCCACAUUGGGACUGAGAUACGGCCCAGACUCCUACGGGAGGCAGCAGUGGGGAAUAUUGCACAAUGGGCGGAAGCCUGAUGCAGCAACGCCGCGUGCGGGAUGACGGCCUUCGGGUUGUAAACCGCUUUCAGCAGGGGCGAAGCUUGUGGUGACGGUACCUGCAGAAGAAGCACCGGCUAACUACGUG
rnacentral:rRNA from 1 species